AAAAGUUUCAAUUACAUCAGUUCUGAGUUUUCAGAUUCUUCAAGCUGCCCUACCAUGAUGACAGAAAGAUUCUGAAGGAAAAAGAAACUGAGAUUCCACAGGAAUUCAUUAUGCCAAAAGCCUUUGGAGACUCUGCACAAGGUGUACCCCAUGCCUCUGUCUUCACUUCAUGCCAGUGAACAGCAGGGACUUCACAGAUUUUUCUGGAAAGUUGCUUCCGUUCCACCAAUACAGUGCCCCGCUCCAGCAAGAAGUCACAAGGGACCACAGAUUGAAGCAAGGCUGAGAACACUGAUCAAUUAGGAACACAGAAACCUAAAAGUCACUUUUGGAGAAAUAAGGAUGAAGAGGUUCAGCGGCAUAGGGAAGGCGUGAGGAGGUCCCUGUGCCUGGCUUCUGUUGCCUCAUCGGUGUUGUUAUAAAAUCCCAGCUCUUGGCCCCAGCCCACUGGACUCUGGCUGAGCCACACUGAUCUCUGCCUAUUCCCAAAACAUCACUGCAGCUGAGAAUUCAGCCACCAACUGUGGAAAAGCUCCAUCUGAUGCACAGCAUGGUAGCUGCUGCCGCUUGGUGGUAUGAGCUACUGAGUGCACAUUUCAUCCAGAGUGCUCCCUGUGUUGGUUUAUGGCAGGAUACAAACUGAAACUGAAAUCCUGCAUUUCUGAAGUCAAAGCAAACCCAUUUGCUUCACUGAACCCAGAAUAUGACUACGGAUCCCAAUAGUCCCACAUUUUCAACAUGGCUCAAUUCACCUGGGGCAGUAAUGGCAACCAUCAGAGAUACGAUCCGGCAGCACAGGGAGCUGCACUAUGGGAGGCUGAUGGUAGUUGUUCAGGCAACGGGAAGUGUCUGUGAAACACAGGAACCAUAACUUCAGAAACAAAUGCAAACUAUUUUUCCUACAAAAAUUUGCUUUCAGAAUUCAGCGCCCACUAUAAAUGCUCUGCUUGCAAGCGAGAAAGAUAAAACUCUCAGACUGCCUCUACAAUGCAUCCGAGUAAGGCUGUGUUCCCUUUGCAUGACUGCAGAGAGCAGCUCAGCUGGCACAGGCUGCCUUCAUUCCUAACUGCUGCUCCUCGGCGUGAUAUUGGGGUGAUGUAAUAGGCUCGGGUGGGACUGCAGACAGGAGCGGCAGCAUCCGCAGCGUCUCCAUGAGGAACAGGAUUUGCUCUGGAAAACAGUGAGAAGCAAGCUCUGCAUCUCAGGGAAAAUUGUAAGGGAUGGAACAGAAAGGUAGGUUAGUGUAUUUUGGAUAGUGUAUUGGAAACUAUAGCUCCAAGCUAGCUCAGCCUGUAUAAAAGUAAAUCUUUGUUCUCUGCUGACCUAGUUUCUGGAGCAGUUGCAGCUUCUGCAGAUCAGUGUAAGAAGCACAGAUAUUCUUCACUAACAGUUGACAGCUGUGCUUGCAGAGCCCUGGUGCUACCAGGCUCGCAGAAAGGCUGUCAGGCAGUCACCUGCUUAGAAGCUUGCCAAGAGUCAGGGAUGUGUAAAAUCGUUGUAUCUGUUAAAAAGUUUCGGUGAGUAAGUCCUAGAGGGGCUGCCAUGCUUUCCUCCACUGUAGUAUUAUCCAGAAAUUCUGUCCAAACCCAGGUUUCCACUGUGCUCGUUGUUAAACAUCUGCAGCCCAAAGAAUUUAUAAUCCAUUUAAACAAACUAAAUCCCUACGGGCACAUUCCCAAACGCCAGCUGUCCUGCAGCACACGGUUCUUUUCUGACCCACCGGCCGCAUGCCGGUGCCACUUCUUCCUUGCAUUUUCCCCUUUAAAAGUAAAAACCUCCCCAGCUCCGUUAUCCCCACGAGACGGUGCCGCGAAGGGCCCGCAGCAGGGCCUUCGCACGCGGUCCGGCUGGGCGCUGCACCUCGGAGGGCCGCAGCGCAGCCCCCAGGGGCGCCCCGCGCUCCUCCCCCGCCCCGCCGUGCCGGCACUCAGGCGGCA